CAUUGAGUUAAACAACAAGACGCCGUAAACAUUUAGCUUCUCUGUCACCUAGACCAACUGGUGCAUGUUGAUGACACAAAGAUAGUGGCUGUCAAAGAUAGAGACAAGCUGCCAGUCUGCUCAGAAUCUGCAUUUCUUAAUGGUACACCGAGAUUGGUGACAUCACAUCUUGAGAGCAAGUAGGUCAAAAUGUCAAGUGAAGACAAAAAGAUCUCCUGUGAGGAAUGCGGGAAGGAGUUUCCCUUCAAGAGCCGUCUUCGGACACACUUGCUUACGCACAAUGGAAUCAAAAAUUUUAAAUGUGAUGAUUGUGGGAAAUUGUUUUCACAUAAGAGCACUCUCACUAACCAUAAGGUUGUACACAGUGGUAUAAAAAAGUAUGAGUGUAAUGAGUGUGGGAAAUAUUUUUCACACAAGAGUAACCUUAGGAAACAUUUGCUUAUCCACAAUGGCAUAAAGAAAUUUGGAUGUAGUGUAUGUGGGAAAAAAUUUUCACAGAAGAGUACUCUCAACACACAUAUGCUUAUACAUGGUGGUGUCAAAAAUUUUGAAUGUGAUGAAUGUGGGCAACUUUUUUUAAGAAAAAGUACUCUCCAGAAUCAUUUGCUAGUACACAGUGGCGUCAAAAAGUUUGGAUGUAUUGAAUGUGGAAAACUGUUCUUACGUAAAGGGGAUCUCAAGAAACACUUGUUUGCGCACGAAAGAAAUUAGGCGCGAUAACUGUAGAGAAUAUCUCAAGGUAGGACAACUCAACAUAUACGUAGUGGUGUGCUUAAAAUAAAGGAAACUAUAUUUAAAUAAGGUACACUAACACACCACUUUCAUUGUGAUAAAACAAUAGUUGUGAUCAUGUACUGUCAGGGUGUAAAUUUACUACAGUAUAUCAUUACAGUACUUUACCUUGAGGCAAGACAGUAAGUCAGAAAAUAUGUGGAAGAUAGGGUAACACUCAAGUAUUCCACUCCUAACAAAGUCAUGUGUUUAACCUUUGGCAAUAGUUAACGUGAGCUGAGGUGACUUUGGAUGUUAUCUGAGUAAAAUAUUUCCCUGGUAUUGUGUAUUUUUCCAAGCAAGUAUCUUUUACUAUUUUAUGGUGUAUGCUGAAUGGACGUAUAAUCAGUGACAAAAAUAAUUUUUUUAAAGAAAGAAUUAAUACUGCAAAACUUUCAAUGUCAGAAACGUAUCAGCACAUAGCAUGAUUCCAUAAGUGUAAAUAUUUAUGUUAAUAUGUAUCUGUAUUCUAUAUUUGUUAAAGUUUGACAUGAUUAUAUUUACUACAGAUAUGGGACCAUUUGUCCAGUAUCCAGAACGCUCCAUAAACUGUCUGUGUUCUGGAACGAAUUAUUUAAAAUGAGCACCAAGUAAUUCUUUGGCUGAGCGGAGAUAUUUCCAACCAUUCCCCACCACAGCUGCUGCUGCUGCACUGUUAAGGCGAGCACAAAGAGUACUGCUGACACAGCUUGUACAGUAACUUGUAUAAUUUUUGCACUUGUUAUACUUUCAUUAAUAGCAUUUAUGUGCUUUUGUUAGUGAUGUUUGUGUUUACAGUUUUAAGUUUUAAUAUUACAGUGUACAGCUCAAGCUACUUUUAGGGUGAAUCUAGUAAUCUGAACACAGUCAGCACAGGUAGUUACAGAAGGUUUAUUGUAUAUACUGUAUGUUGUACAUUUUUACACUUGGCACUCCAAAUUCUGGAAGAAAAACCCUAUCCAGCAACCACCAGGUUCCAAGUAACUGUACAGUAUAUGUAAGUUUAGGGUGACCUGGGAUGACUUCAGACAACUAAAAAUUUACAAAAAAUUUCUACUUAAUACACUGGAGUUGUAGUAAUUCACAAAAUACACAUUCACAUUCUUAAAUUUGCAGGUACCUGUGCCUCUAUCAUUUCCCUGUAUAUAAAUGUUGUGGUCAAAUAAUCACAAUUCAGUGUUGAGCGCCGGCUGUACAGAGUUACUCAUUGGCUAUCUACAGUAUAUUGUAAUGGCGGUCUCAAGUCCCCCCACCCCCCAGAUCAGGGGUGACUUGGAACACCCCUAUAAAUGUUUAUGUUCCAGAAUAAUUGUGAUCUUUGAAAUAUUGCUUGGCCAUUGGCCCACACACCAAUAGGAUACUGAACAUCUGCUUUUGGCCUUAUAUCUUGAACAGCAGCUUGAAGAACCGUAAAAAUCAUCUGAAGUCACCCCAAUUCAUUGUAAUAACAUUUAUAUGCAUGAUUUGGCAAUACUAAUUAGCUGUAAGAAUCACAAAAGUGAGGUUUACAAAGCUCAAGAAGUCAGGGAUAUAGAUAGAGGAGCAGAAUUUAAAGUGGUAAAAGUCAAUCUCUACAAGACAGGUUCACACAAUGGAGGCCCCAAGAUAAUUCAGCUUCCUUUCUCCCUUGGAGUCCCCAACCCCUCUUUGGUUUUUCCUACUCAAAAUAUGUUUAACAAGUUCUCUAUUUGAAGUACAAUAAAUUUUCCUCUCUAUAUUCCACAUGGCUUCUUUUACUUUGAAUUAAUGAACUGCUCCUUCCCAGUCUUCAAGACCACCACCUGGCAGGAGAGUUAUUAGUUGCUGCUUUUCAUUAAAUGGAAUGAUAGUAAAGGUCUUUCUCAAGUCUAAUUUUUGUUACCUGUGUGUACAAACAUAUUCUACAAAAAUAUUGAAUAUGAAAACAAUGGAUUUCUGUGUGGCAGUUUUGGUUCGUGUUGGUUGUACAGUGUUUCACUUUGUAGAGGAUCCAAAGGAUCCCUAAACACUGUCUCUCUGGGGUGCACAGUCAUGAGCUACAACAUUCCUUAGUUACAUCUACACAGCUUCACUCUCACUAGUGACACUUGAAGUACUCUACAUCUGGCAGCUGUGUGUGUGUGUGUGUCUUGAAACGGUUUGUAUAGUUGAGAAAACGGGAGUUAUUUCCGCCUUGCGAAAGCUUACGGGUGCUCGGUGGCCACUGUAACCUUUGCUGUACGAUAAGUUUGGGUUAGGGUCACCAUAAACUGUUAGUGAAUCACCCAUUCAGCCUUAAGGUUGGAGUCAGGAUUAGUGAGGUUUCACUGUACAGUCAUUUUGGUGUGAAAGGUAAAUAAACUGUUACUCCUUCCUCUCCCUUUGAGUAGCCCCCAUUCCACCAAGUCACAGGCAUCACCACUUCAGCUGCUGAUCACCCUUGUUUCUGAUACUGUACGUGACUUAUUUCCAGUACAGGCAGACUGAUUUACAAGACUUUGAUUUAUGAAAAUUUGCCAUUACAAUGUUUGUUUUUUGUCCCAUGCUUAGACUUAUUAGCAAAAUCCCAGAACUAAAUGCAAGUUUGUUUAAUUAUUUUUACCAUCAGUAUCCUUACUUGUUACACUAACGUAUUCAUUAUCCUCAAAUACUUGUAAUGUUAUUAAGUCUACAAAUAAGCUUUCAGUGUGUCAUUAUUCUCUCUCAACUCCCAUUAAACCUUAAACUCAUUUGAAGACAAGUAGAUUUUUCAAUCUGCCAGUUUCCUGAUUGUCCAAUUUUUCAUCAUUUAUAUUUAUGUAAUAUGUGGAAAUUUAAAUAAAAGAAAAACGUUUUGUA